rnacentral:rRNA from 1 species
GAUGAACGCUGGCGGCGUGCCUAAUACAUGCAAGUCGAGCGAACAGACGAGGAGCUUGCUCCUCUGACGUUAGCGGCGGACGGGUGAGUAACACGUGGAUAACCUACCUAUAAGACUGGGAUAACUUCGGGAAACCGGAGCUAAUACCGGAUAAUAUAUUGAACCGCAUGGUUCAAUAGUGAAAGACGGUUUUGCUGUCACUUAUAGAUGGAUCCGCGCCGCAUUAGCUAGUUGGUAAGGUGACGGCUUACCAAGGCAACGAUGCGUAGCCGACCUGGGAGGGUGAUCGUCCGCACUGGAACUGCGACACGGUCCAGACUCCUACGUGGGGCAGCAGUAGUAACUCUUCCGCAAUGGGGCAAAGCAUGACGGAGCAACGCGGAGUGAGUCAUGAAGGUCUUCGGUUCGUACAACUCUGAUAUUAGGGAAGAACCAAUGUGUAAGUAACUAUGCACGUAUUGACGGUACCUAAUCAGAAAACCACGGCUAACUACGUG